UACGUAGGUGGCAAGCGUUGUCCGGAAUUAUUGGGCGUAAAGCGCGCGCAGGCGGCCUCUUAAGUCUGAUGUGAAAGCCCCCGGCUCAACCGGGGAGGGCCAUUGGAAACUGGGAGGCUUGAGUAUAGGAGAGAAGAGUGGAAUUCCACGUGUAGCGGUGAAAUGCGAUAGAGAUGUGGAGGAACACCAGUGGCGAAGGCGACUCUUUGGCCUAUAACUGACGCUGAGGCGCGAAAGCGUGGGGAGCAAACAGG
rnacentral:rRNA from 1 species